CCGUGUGCUGCGGGCCGCCGUGCUUGUGCUCGUGGCGAAGCGGCGGCUUGGGCUGGGCUCGGCCGUCGGGCGGCGGCAGGGAGUGCAGUCGGAAAGGAAGAGACGGAACUGCAGCGCACAUGCCAGCUGGGAAUCGGUGACUCAGGAUAUUCAGUCAUAAAUGGUGUCCGUCCCUUUCCAGCUGAACGCAGGGAGCAGCAGUGAGGUUUGAGCUUGACGUAAGAGCAGGAUUCUACUCGAACCCGAGGAUUCCCACACUGGAUUUUACAACCUGCCUUCGCAUAUGAGAUGUUGAAGCUUUCAAUGAGGUCACGCCAGACACUGACAAGCACUGAUGGGUGAGUCAUGCUGCAGUAGCCAGAGAUACUAGCAACAGAUUUGUUAAUCUGUAUGCAGUCUAACCCUUUUUCUGGUCUAGGAUCUUAUUCAAGGGUGACAUACAAUGUCUCGGAGAUAGGUGACUGCAGAAUUGCUCAAGAGCAAGGCCACAUUUUCACAACUAUUUUACAGAUUAUAAUAAGAAUCAGUUCCUGGGAGCGUGUUUACAAUAAUGUAAAAUGUUGGUUUGGCUAUAAAAUCUAUAAAACAGGAGAUCAAGAUCCAGAUGGGGCCAACAAUGUUCAUUGCAGAUCACUGGAAAAGCCACCAUGCUAAUAUGGAAUCUAAGUUCCACCUGCUCUUGCUCCAGGAGUUCCAAUCAUCAUCUCCAGCAAACUGCUCUUCCAGUACCAGGGAGAGCAGGUGUAAAUACACAUCCAUACACCAGCCAGUCUAGGACAAAGGCCAGUGCAGUCACAGCACUGUUAGGCUGUGCUGUCUGAGCUAAGACAUCCAGCCCUAACCCAGCAGGGUCAGGCAGAGAGCAAACUCUCUUCUGCUGGCUCUGCUGUGGGGGGAAACCUGUGGAGAAGGAUUAGACCAGACCAUUUCCUGAUCUGCCACAAGAAAAUUCUCCAUGGAAGCUUUGGAAGUGUGGCAAGGACAGAGAAAACCAUGGAACAAGUGAGAUAUGGGGACUGAGUGCAUGACAGCAGAAAAAAGUUUCAUAAUCUUGGCUGAACUACUGAACAGUCAGAGAAAGAACCAACAAUAAAGGGAAGAGGCAAAGUAAAUCUAAAAGAAAUUCUGCAGACAGACAACAAAGAAAUGAGGUGCUGUUGUAUUUUCAUUGCUGCAAAGCUAAAUUAAGCUUCCUAAGUCAAGCAGAGAAAUAAGUGUUUUAGACUUCUAUUCAGAAAACAGCAUGAGCAGCAAUUGCCAGUGGACAACUAACAAAAGGUGUCUUCUCUCAGAGAAAGAAAGCCACCAGCACAUUGCAUAAUUGUAAUGAGUUUCCUCCCAGUUUCACAUUAUUAGUCACCUUUCACCCUUCUCUGCCAAAGGCCUCUUCUUACCCAUCCAUCCAAGGACCAGAGCCAAGGCACAAGCCUUUCCUGUGCUACUUCUUUCCAUCAGCCAUUCUUCAAGGUCAAGGCCUCCACAAUACUGAUCACUGUGCCCAUUCCAGGCAUUCUGAACCAAUGCCAGAGUAAAACCCCCUUCGGCCCUGCUGUCGGGAAAAGAUUCGAGACACCUGAAUAGACCUUCCUUAUACUCAUUUGUCAUGGCCUGGAAAAGCAGUUAGUCCUGAAAUUGUGCAAAUAUUUAAAAGCAAAACCAUUGCAAAGAUUCAUCGAAGAGCCUUCACCAGCAGAAGACAUCCUACCUAGAGUCCCUUGGAAACCUGUUUGACUCAAGUGGAAAUGACCUACUGGCAUUUAUUUGUAAUUGCCCAGCAUGGCAGUGGCUGAGGAAGGAAAAGCUAUUGAGUCACACUGCAAGCCACUUUUCCACUUCUGUCUGGUUGCCCAGAGGGUAGAGUGGGACAGUCAGAAGGCUGAGAUUUUGUUUAUGUCUCUGAAACUGAUUAUCCAUGUGACCUUGCACGUACUUCUUGUGCCACCAUUUUCCCACUUCUUAAUACCUAAAACCACUCGACUCAUGGGUCAGUCAGAAGUGCCCAGCAAGGAGCAUGUUUGUUCCUCUAAUAAAAGGUAAGAGAAGAGCGAAGUGGUAUUAUUGUUGUCAUACAAUACAAAAGCAGUUACGUAAUAACAUCAGCAUUGCUUCAUUUUUGUCAUUACAACACAAACUGUCAGAGGGACACUGCCUGACAUGAUAUCUUCAUCCCAGUGGAUGUACCCAAGUGUUUACUUCAUUGAUACAAAACCAGAUUACAACAAUCUGGAAGACUCUACCUCGUUUAUUUUGACCAUCUAGAACAUGUUUUUCCUGUAUAACCUCAUAACCCAUAAUAAUGGCCCAAACUGCACUACAGGAAUGAUGGCAGGUUUCAUGAGCUAGUAAAAGGAGAACAAUUCCUCACUUGUGCAUUGCACAACUGCUCACACACUAAAGCACACAAGUGCUUCUCUUCUUUGUGAGCAGACAACAACCUGAAAGUUAGUUUCUAAACCUGCACAUCAUACACACACAGAAUACUUUUUUAAAAAAUCUCAGUGCCAAGAAAGAAUUAAAGAACUCCCUAAUUUGCCUAAAUUACAUUCUACUUGUCUGAUGACAAAUUUCCUAAAAAAAAGCAUUGACAAAUGCUGUUCAUAACUGCUCUAUAAUUAAUAAACAAAUUUCUUUGCUUCAAGUUCUGUGACUUAUUCUAAAAUUUAAAAUCCUUUGCUUAAAAAUGGUCAGAUUCAAGCAGCAUGUGGACUGAAGGCUGAGGAAGGCAUGGCUGUGAUUACAGCAGCUGAAACUGUGCCCUAAUCACACUCUUAUCUUUCUUAUCUACUGCAAGUAUUUAUAAAGCAAUGAUUACUGUACUAGGCCACAUCACUGCUCUGAGUUUGUUCUGAACCAGCACCUUCGUGUUGCUGUAAGAAGUUCACACUGCUAGAGCUGGUGUCAUUUUGCUGAGACAGAAAGCCAAGCUUCUCAUCACUUAAAGUCAUUAAAAAAAAAUAAACUAUGACACCUCUAAAGGAGUAGGGGUGUUAACCCCAAUGUCCUGGCCAAACUCCCAGCUUGAGUAAUUACAGCGUGCCUUGAAUAAAUUCUUGCCACAGUUUCCUUUGGACACAGUAUUGUUCUCUACUUCCUCUCCUACAAUAUUAUGGAGUGCUGAUGCAUGCUCUUAAAGGUCCUGUCCGUGCUGGAAUGUCCUACAGGUCUACCCCAGGACCAGCUCUGCAGCAGCACAUUGGGAACAAUGUGUUGAAACCAGUUCUGCCUGUCAGCUGAACCGCUAGGCAAUUUGUA